UUAUGUACAUGUAUAUUACAGUGAUAUUGCCCGGCAAGAGACUGAGCAAGCCCAUGAGCAAAUGGUAGGAGAGAUUGAUGACCUAGGAGUGUGUCCUCUCCCUGGAGAAUCUCCAUCACUUCAACUCAGACUUCAAGCAAGGCCGGUAAUUGAAUGUGAAACAGAUUCCGACGUUGAGAAAGAUUCUGUACAGUCUGAAGUAAAUGAUCCAGUACCAGGUCCGCAGAAUGAAUCUUCUGUUAUGACAAGUACACCUCAGAAUGUACUUCAGUCGUUACUUCAUACAGAAAGAAUAAGUCGUCUGUCGGCAAUAAGAUUCGCAAAACAAUCGCCUAAGCUGAAAUCAAGGAAAGACUUGAGAAGAAGUUUCCAUGUCGUACACGCACUGGAAUGUCCUCUUCGUGUGAUACAGCCUGGCAAAAGAAAGGUUUUGAUUCGCUUACAUCUCACACCUUCUUCAUGACAACAAACAAAGCAGGCAGGAGGAAAAAGGUCAUCAAAACAAUUGUUGGACAUAGGCAUUGUGGCAAGUGCAAGUGGUGGAAGCGGAACAGGCAGGGUCAGAAAGUAAGAACUCAUUAUUGUGUAAAAAAUCACACUGGGAGUGCAAGAUCGAUGGAAGCAGCCAGUGGUUUGAAAGGAGUUAGAGAGCUGUUCAAUGAAGGAACUCCUAUUGAGUACUUGGAAGGAGAUGGGGAUAACACUUUGAUAGCUAGGCUGAAAUCAGAUUUGAACAUUUCUCUAAAGAAACGCUUUGACAAAAAUCAUGUUGUCAAAAAUGUGACUGGGACAUUGUAUAAAAUGAAGAGUGCCCUUAAACUAAGUGACAAUGUUAUAUCACACAUAAAAAAUGUUUGUCCUAUGCUUUCUCAAAAAAUCAAGGAGAUAAAAUUGGAAUGGAGGAGAACAUUCGGGCAUUGAUACCGCACCAAUUCGCAGACCACACUCUCUGCCAUGGACGAUUCUGUGGAUAUAAAAGAAGGCCGUCUGAGAAGUAUGUGCACCGCAGUCUGCCAUAUAUGACACCGCUACAUGACAGUAAUCUCAGGACCAAGCUACAGGCGGUGUUUGACACUGUGGCAGCCAAUGCCCACAGUUACGUUGACCUUGGAUCUAGUCAACAAUGCGAGUCGGCCAACAGACGUGUCUCAUUGCGCGCACCAAAGUCACAUAUUAUGGUGACACUAAGAGUCUGGACUACCGUGUGGAAGCGACUGCUGCUUGUAUAAAUGAGGGAAGACAUUACCUAUCGCAGUUUAGUCAACUACAUGGACACAGUCACACCCAAAGUCAUAAGAAGAGAACUCAAACAUAGGGAUUUGUGAAGUUGGGGCUUUCUCAGGAGAGUACACUAUUCAACAUUCGGAAAGACAGUUGAAACGACGGAGGGAACUGACAGAUAGAGCCCUGUUACCAUCAUCUAAACGUCGGCGACUGGAGCUGAAGAAAGAACGGGCUGUCAUUCAAGGGGCCAGUGAAGCAAUGGAAGGGGACACAUAUCAGUCUGGGGUUGGUCAUAUGGAGGCAAUUGAUAUAGAACGCAUACCUGACGCUAUUGCCCGUGGCAACUUCAAACCAGUCGUCAUAGAUGGAGAGCCAACCAUCAUAACAUUUGAUUUAGAAACAACAGGACUUAUUGUGCACAGAGUGAUGCCGGACAUAACACAGAUAGCUGCAAGUGACCAGUCAGGAAAGACAUUCAAUGUCUAUGUCAACCCAAUCCAGCCGAUAAAUCCGGAAGCAACGACAGUGACUGGAAUUUCAUUUGUGAAUGGAGAAAUGAAAGUUCGAGGACAGAUAGUUCAUUCUGUACAUGUGAAGGAUGCUGUUAGCCAAUCUUGUCAUGGUUGGAGCAGUUUAAAAAUGUUGUUUUAUGUGCCCAUAACGGAAGAAGGUUCGACUUUCUGAUCCUAGUUGAACUGCUUGAGAAACUUCAUCUUAGUGAAAAGUUUAGUGAAAUAGUUCCUGCUUUGUUGGACACAAUGAGCAUAUUCAGGAAACAAUAUCCUAAAAGUUCACUGAAACAAGAAGAUCUUGU